AUAAUGAUACUUCCGUAAUUCGCGGCCCGGUCACAAAGCAGACGGGGCGGCUGAAAUGCAAAUGA
rnacentral:ncRNA from 1 species